rnacentral:rRNA from 1 species
AUGUAUAUAUACUUGAGAAUCAAUGGAAACCAGGACGGAUUGUCCUUUCACUUUCAAUCUCGUUUUACUCUAACACGUUAUCACGCACGUUGCUCUCCAAUAGAGCAAGAACCUGCCGGCGAACUCGCUGGAACUGAACAAAAUCAACAGGCAAAAGGUGAGACAGAAGAACAAAUGCCUGGGAAUCUUCUCUCCUUGUUUCUUCGCCUCCUUCGCGAUGACGGCCGUUGCCGCCGUUUCGUCGCUCGCCGCAGUCAUCAUGGUGUGGGCGGACUUCGUCGCUUCCACCGUCGAGUGCGCGACCUUCCCGCUUCGGUGGAGGUUGGAAGUCACCGCCACCAGAUCGGCGCCCUGAGCGUGCCGGUGCAGGCCCUAGCGCCGGCCGCUCGGCUUUUCGCGCCGCUGGCCCAUGAGCCGGCCGCGCCGCUGAUGCCGGCGGUGGCUGACUGGCUGUACGCCGGUCCGGCCGCUCCGACGCUGCACAUCGACCCGGUCGCCCCUGUCGAAAUAGUUACGCCUCCAGGGAACGACAUCGUCGAGGACGAGGACGAGGCUGCGCCGCUGCCAUCUCCGACCCCUACGGUCGUCGAGGUUGGAGCCAGCCGCGCGCUCGCCUUCCUGUCCACGCCGACGGGAUCCGCUGCUUCUCAAGUGCCGCGCCGGACGACGCCCCUGCGCCUCCGCAUCUACCAUCCCCCACGCCAACCACGCCUCCUCCUCGUCGCCGCCUUAAGUCCUUCGGCUUCACGGCGUCGAGCCCUCCGUCGAGCAGCCGUGCCGCCGCGCGCGUGGGGACUUGGAGCCCGGCCGCCCUCGGGCUCGCAAACGGCGUCUCCAACGGCGUCGAGCCGGGCACCCUGCUCAUUGGAGUUUCCCCGGACAAGGACGGGCGCAGGGGGAGCGCCUCCCGCCGCCCGUGAAUGCCGCUGCGGCGGCGUGCUUCCUGGUGGCACAGGGCGGCCGUGUGCCUGGGUUACUCGAGCGUGGUUGGGAACGAAGCGAUGGGGAAUUUCCCCCUCCGUCGCUCUGCUUAUCUGUUGGUAG